CCCUUAGAUGUUCUGGGCCGCACGCGCGCUACACUGAUGCAUACAGCGAGUACUUUCCAGCUCCGCGAGGCAGCUGGUAAUCAGCAAUAUGCAUCGUGCUGGGGAUAGAUCUUUGGAAUUAUAGAUCUUGAACGAGGAAUUCCUAGUAAGCGCAAGUCAUUAGCUUGCGCUGAUUAAGUCCCUGCCCUUUGUACACACCGCCCGUCGCUCCUACCGAUUUCGAGUGAUUCGGUGAACCUUUUGGACAGCGUCUGUCCUCGUGUCAGAUGCUGAAAGUCAAGUAAACCAUAUCACUUAGAGGAAGGAGAAGUCGUAACA
rnacentral:rRNA from 1 species